GAUGAAGAACGUAGUGAAAUGCGAUACGUAAUGUGAAUUGCAGAAUUCAGUGAAUCAUCGAGUCUUUGAACGCACAUUGCGUCCCCUGGUAUUCCGGGGGGCAUGCCUGUCCGAGCGUCAUUGCUGCCCUCAAGCACGGCUUGUGUGUUGGGCCUCCGUCCUCCUCCCGGGGGACGGGCCCGAAAGGCAGCGGCGGCACCGCGUCCGGUCCUCGAGCGUAUGGGGCUUCGUCACCCGCUCUUGUAGGCCCGGCCGGCGCUUGCCGACACAUCAAUCUUUUUUCCAGGUUGACCUCGGAUCAGGUAGGGAUACCCGCUGAACUUAAGCAUAUCAAUAAGCGGAGGA
rnacentral:misc_RNA from 1 species